rnacentral:rRNA from 1 species
GCUAACUACGGGCCAGGAGCGGCGGUAAUACGUAGGGGGCAAGCGGUGUCCGGAUGUAUUGGGCGUAAAGAGCGUGUAGGCGGCCAGGUAGGUCUGCUGUGAAAACUCGAGGCUUAACCUCGAGCUGUCGGCGGAAACCAUCUGGCUAGAGUCCGGAAGAGGAGAAUGGAAUUCCCGGUGUAGCGGUGAAAUGCGCAGAUAUCGGGAAGAACACCCGUGGCGAAGGCGGUUCUCUGGGACGGUACUGACGCUGAGACGCGAAAGCGUGGGGAGCGAACAGGAUUAAAUACCCCAGUAGUC